GCCGGGUUAGCUCAGUUGGUUAGAACAUGGUGCUAAUAACCCCAAGUUUGCAGGUUCAAUCCCUGCUUUCUUCG
rnacentral:tRNA from 1 species